rnacentral:rRNA from 1 species
GAUGAACACUGACAGAGUGCUUAACACAUGCAAGUCUCCUAGUAUUUGGCUGUUUAUUUUUGAUUUUGGGGUAGGGCGGAACAGUAAAGUGUAAAGAGCUCGCCCCACACCUCUGGGCAACAUUUAGAGAUGAGAACGAGGACCCGAAAUUAUGAUUUUAAUGUGUUUUAGAAUUAUGAAAGAGAUAAGAGCUGUGUGAGAGCGUUAUGUGCCCUUAGCUAGUUGGAGAGGUGACAGGUCACCAAGGCGAUAAGGGGUAGACGCGCUGAGAGAGUGAGAGGGCACACGGGGACACUGAGACAGAGAUAUCUCCCACACGCGGCAGCGGGGGGGAAUAUUGGGCAAUAUGGCAAGAGGCUCAGCCCCAAAUUCUGUGUGCGCGAUGAGGAUUUUCGGAAUUUGAAGUGUUUUCACCUUUGGAGGAGGAAAAAACGCUCCCUUCAGAGGAGGUGAGGGCUAAAUACAUGAGAGCCGCGGCGAAAUACGCAUGUGACGAGGGUAAUCCGGAUAUAUUGGGCGUUUAACGCGACUAUGGGGGUAUAUGAGUCUCAGGUGAAAAUGCGGGGUCUCCUCUGUAUAUCGUUGUAAAACUUAUAACUAGAGUGCUGGAGAGGAGGCGGGGAUACACGAGUUAGGUGUAAUUUCUGAUAUAUGGGGAUACCGCUAUGUAAGGAGAGCACUGGGAGAUAAGUGGCUAUAGGCGCAAGCUGGUAUAAAACGAAAAGAUACCUGGAAACCAAAGUGAAAUUCCCAUUUGAGCGCACUGGGAUCUCUUGUGUUCCGGGGGCCCCACGGGUAGCGAGUCCCCCUAGAGUCCCGUUUCCCCAACGAUGCAUAACUACACACCUGUCACUGAUAACACUGCGUCCUGACUACCCGCUUUACAACUCAUCGUCUCAAGAGUCCUGUUCGAUGUUGUGA